GACGAACGCUGGCGGCGUGCCUAAUACAUGCAAGUCGAACGCACAGUUUAUACCGUAGCUUGCUACACCAUAGACUGUGAGUUGCGAACGGGUGAGUAACGCGUAGGUAACCUGCCUGGUAGCGGGGGAUAACUAUUGGAAACGAUAGCUAAUACCGCAUAAUAUUAAUUAUUGCAUGAUAAUUAAUUGAAAGGUGCAAUUGCACCACUACCAGAUGGACCUGCGUUGUAUUAGCUAGUAGGUGAGGUAACGGCUCACCUAGGCGACGAUACAUAGCCGACCUGGGAGGGUGAUCGGCCACACUGGGACUGAGACACGGCCCAGACUCCUACGGGAGGCAGCAGUAGGGAAUCUUCGGCAAUGGACGAAAGUCUGACCGAGCAACGCCGCGUGAGGGAAGAAGGUUUUCGGAUCGUAAAGCUCUGUUGUAAGAGAAGAACGGGUGUGAGAGUGGAAAGUUCACACUGUGACGGUAUCUUACCAGAAAGGGACGGCUAACUACGUG
rnacentral:rRNA from 1 species